AGCAUAUCAAUAAGCGGAGGAAAAGAAACCAACAGGGAUUGCCCCAGUAACGGCGAGUGAAGCGGCAAGAGCUCAAAUUUGAAAUCUGGCUCCUUCGGGAGUCCGAGUUGUAAUUUGGAGAGGAUGCUUCGGGUAUGGCCCCCGUCUAAGUGCCCUGGAACGGGCCGUCGGAGAGGGUGAGAACCCCGUCUGGGAUGGGAGGCCAGGCCCGUGUGAAGCUCCUUCGACGAGUCGAGUUGUUUGGGAAUGCAGCUCUAAGUGGGUGGUAAAUUUCAUCUAAAGCUAAAUACUGGCCGGAGACCGAUAGCGAACAAGUAGAGUGAUCGAAAGAUGAAAAGCACUUUGGAAAGAGAGUCAAACAGCACGUGAAAUUGUUGAAAGGGAAGCGCUUGCGGUCAGACUCGCUCCGGGGGGCUCCGUCGGCACUCGUUGCCGGCGUACUCCCUCCCGGGGCGGGCCAGCAUCAGCUCUGGCGGCCGGUGAAAGGUUCCCGGAAGGUAGCACCCUCCGGGGUGUCUUAUAGCCGGGGACGGAAUACGGCCAGCCGGGGCUGAGGAACGCGCUUCGGCUCGGAUGCUGGCGUAAUGGCCGUAAGCGACCCGUCUUGAA
rnacentral:rRNA from 1 species